AUUGGCAUUAAAAUAAAACAAUUUAAUUUUUUUUGCAAAAUUUCUCAAAAAAAACAUAAGGGGUAAGCCUUAUGAAAUUUUCGAGUGGAAUUUUUUUUUGAAAUUUUUUUCUGAUUUUUUAUUCUUUUUUUAAUUUAAAGCACUAUUUAAGUGAAAAGAAACUUAUUGCAACAAAUUCCCAUCAAAAUAUAUCACAUUUAAAAUUUUUGCUACAUUGCUCAAAAAUGAGGAAAAUUUUACAUUUUCUCAAACAGGGUAAGGAACUUGGUUCCUCGAAUAACUUCUGGCACAGGCAUCUGAGGGCAUGGCUGUCCAAGAAGAAAAUGUAGCCAUUGUUGCCAUCUAUCGACCACAGGUUAAAGAUUGGCGAUUCGUUGGAUACCGACCGAGUUAUAGGCAAAAUUUGGUGCAAAAAUGAGGAAAAUUUUCUUUUUUUUGAAUUUUUUGAUUUUUUUUAUUAUUUUUCACUCUUUUUUUUAUUUUAAGCAUUAUUAGAGUGAAAAGAAACUCAUUGCAACCCAUUGGCAUUAAAAUAAAACAAUUUAAUUUUUUUUGCAAAAUUUCCCAAAAAAUCGUAAGGGGUAAGCCUUAUGAAAUUUUCGAGUGGAAAUUUUUUUUGAAUUUUUUUUUGAAUUUUUAUUCUUUUUUUAAUUUAAAGCACUAUUUAAGUGCAAAGAAACUUAUUGCAACAAAUUCCCAUCAAAAUAUAUCACAUUUAAAAUUUUUGCUACAUUGCUCAAAAAUGAGGAAAAUUUUACAUUUUCUCAAACCGGGUAAGGAACUUGGUUCCUCAAAUAACUUCUGGUACAGACAUCUAAGGGCAUGGCUGUCCAAGAAGAAAAUGUAGCCAUUGUUGCCAUCUAUCGACCACAGGUUAAAGUUUGGCGAUUCGUUGGAUACCGACCGAGUUAUAGGCAAAAUUUGGUGCAAAAAUGAGGAAAAUUUUCUUUUUUUUUUAAUUUUUUGAUUUUUUUUAUUAUUUUUCACUCUUUUUUUUUAUUUUAAGCAUUAUUAGAGUGAAAAGAAACUCAUUGCAACCCAUUGGCAUUAAAAUAAAACAAUUUAAUUUUUUUUGCAAAAUUUCCCAAAAAAUCGUAAGGGGUAAGCCUUAUGAAAUUUUCGAGUGGAAAUUUUUUUUGAAUUUUUUUUUGAAUUUUUAUUCUUUUUUUAAUUUAAAGCACUAUUUAAGUGCAAAGAAACUUAUUGCAACAAAUUCCCAUCAAAAUAUAUCACAUUUAAAAUUUUUGCUACAUUGCUCAAAAAUGAGGAAAAUUUUACAUUUUCUCAAACCGGGUAAGGAACUUGGUUCCUCAAAUAACUUCUGGUACAGACAUCUAAGGGCAUGGCUGUCCAAGAAGAAAAUGUAGCCAUUGUUGCCAUCUAUCGACCACAGGUUAAAGUUUGGCGAUCCGUUGGAUACCGACCGAGUUAUAGGCAAAACUUGGUGCAAAAAUGAAGAAAAUUUUACAUUUUCUCAAACCGGGUAAGGAACUUGGUUCCUCAAAUAACUUCUGGCACAGACAUCUGAGGGCAUGGCUGUCCAAGAAGAAAAUGUAGCCAUUGGUGCCAUCUAUCGACCACAGGUUAAAGUUUGGCGAUUCGUUGGAUACCGACCGAGUUAUAGGCAAAAUUUGGUGCAAAAAUGAGGAAAAUUUUCAUUUUUUUUUUAAUUUUUUGAUUUUUUUUAUUAUUUUUCACUCUUUUUUUAUUUCAAGCAUUAUUAGAGUGAAAAGAAACUCAUUGCAACCCGUUGGCAUUAAAAUAAAACAAUUUAAUUUUUUUUGCAAAAUUUCCCAAAAAAAUCGUAAGGGGUAAGCCUUAUGAAAUUUUCGAGUGGAAAAUUUUUUUGAAAUUAUUUUCUGAUUUUUUAUUCUUUUUUAAAUUUAAAGCACUAUUUAAGUGAAAAGAAACUUAUUGCAACAAAUUCCCAUCAAAAUAUAUCACAUUUAAAAUUUUUGCUACAUUGCUCAAAAAUGAGAAAAAUUUUACAUUUUCUCAAACAGGGUAAGGAACAUGGUUCCUCGAAUAACUUCUGGCACAGACAUCUGAGGGCAUGGCUGUCCAAGAAGAAAAUGUAGCCAUUGUUGCCAUCUAUCGACCACAAGUUAAAGAUUGGCGAUUCGUUGGAUACCGACCGAGUUAUAGGCAAAACUUGGUGCAAAAAUGAGGAAAAUUUUACAUUUUCUCAAACAGGGUAUGGAACUUGGUUCCUCGAAUAACUUCUGGCGCAGACAUCUGAGCGCAUUGCUGUCCAAGAAGAAAAUGUAGCCAUUGUUGCCAUCUAUCGACCACAAGUUAAAGUUUGGCGAUUCGUUGGAUACCGACCGAGUUAUAGGCAAAAUUUGGUGCAAAAAUGAGGAAAAUUUUCUUUUUUUUUGAAUUUUUUGUUUUUUUUUAUUAUUUUUCACUCUUUUUUUUAUUUUAAGCAUUAUUAGAGUGAAAAGAAACUCAUUGCAACCCAUUGGCAUUAAAAUAAAACAAUUUAAUUUUUUUUGCAAAAUUUCCCAAAAAAUCGUAAGGGGUAAGCCUUAUGAAAUUUUCGAGUGGAAUUUUUUUUUGAAAUUAUUUUCUGAUUUUUUAUUCUUUUUUUAAUUUAAAGCACUAUUUAAGUGAAAAGAAACUUAUUGCAACAAAUUCCCAUCAAAAUAUAUCACAUUUAAAAUUUUUGCUACAUUGCUCAAAAAUGAGGAAAAUUUUACAUUUCCUCAAACAGGGUAUGGAACUUGGUUCCUCGAAUAACUUCUGGCACAGACAUCUAAGGGCAUGGCUGUCCAAGAAGAAAAUGUAGCCAUUGUUGCCAUCUAUCGACCACAGGUUAAAGUUUGGCGAUCCGUUGGAUACCGACCGAGUUAUAGGCAAAACUUGGUGCAAAAAUGAAGAAAAUUUUACAUUUUCUCAAACCGGGUAAGGAACUUGGUUCCUCAAAUAACUUCUGGCACAGACAUCUGAGGGCAUGGCUGUCCAAGAAGAAAAUGUAGCCAUUGGUGCCAUCUAUCGACCACAGGUUAAAGUUUGGCGAUUCGUUGGAUACCGACCGAGUUAUAGGCAAAAUUUGGUGCAAAAAUGAGGAAAAUUUUCAUUUUUUUUUAAUUUUUUGAUUUUUUUUAUUAUUUUUCACUCUUUUUUUAUUUCAAGCAUUAUUAGAGUGAAAAGAAACUCAUUUGCAACCCAUUGGCAUUAAAAUAAAACAAUUUAAUUUUUUUUGCAAAAUUUCCCAAAAAAUCGUAAGGGGUAAGCCUUAUGAAAUUUUCGAGUGGAAAAUUUUUUUGAAAUUAUUUUCUGAUUUUUUAUUCUUUUUUUAAUUUAAAGCACUAUUUAAGUGAAAAGAAACUUAUUGCAACAAAUUCCCAUCAAAAUAUAUCACAUUUAAAAUUUUUGCUACAUUGCUCAAAAAUGAGAAAAAUUUUACAUUUUCUCAAACAGGGUAAGGAACAUGGUUCCUCGAAUAACUUCUGGCACAGACAUCUGAGGGCAUGGCUGUCCAAGAAGAAAAUGUAGCCAUUGUUGCCAUCUAUCGACCACAAGUUAAAGAUUGGCGAUUCGUUGGAUACCGACCGAGUUAUAGGCAAAACUUGGUGCAAAAAUGAGGAAAAUUUUACAUUUUCUCAAACAGGGUAUGGAACUUGGUUCCUCGAAUAACUUCUGGCGCAGACAUCUGAGCGCAUUGCUGUCCAAGAAGAAAAUGUAGCCAUUGUUGCCAUCUAUCGACCACAGGUUAAAGUUUGGCGAUUCGUUGGAUACCGACCGAGUUAUAGGCAAAAUUUGGUGCAAAAAUGAGGAAAAUUUUCAUUUUUUUUGAAUUUUUUGAUUUUUUUUAUUAUUUUUCACUCUUUUUUUAUUUCAAGCAUUAUUAUAGUGAAAAGAAACUCAUUUGCAACCCAUUGGCAUUAAAAUAAAACAAUUUAAUUUUUUUUGCAAAAUUUCCCAAAAAAAUCGUAAGGGGUAAGCCUUAUGAAAUUUUCGAGUGGAAAUUUUUUUUGAAAUUAUUUUCUGAUUUUUUAUUCUUUUUUUAAUUUAAAGCAUUAUUUAAGUGAAAAGAAACUUAUUGCAACAAAUUUCCAUCAAAAUAUAUCACAUUUAAAAUUUUUGCUACAUUGCUCAAAAAUGAGAAAAAUUUUACAUUUUCUCAAACAGGGUAAGGAACAUGGUUCCUCGAAUAACUUCUGGCACAGACAUCUGAGGGCAUGGCUGUCCAAGAAGAAAAUGUAACCAUUGUUGCCAUCUAUCGACCACAAGUUAAAGAUUGGCGAUUCGUUGGAUACCGACCGAGUUAUAGGCAAAACUUGAUGCAAAAAUGAGGAAAAUUUUCUUUUUUUUGAAUUUUUUGAUUUUUUUUUAUUAUUUUUCACUCUUUUUUUUAUUUGAAGCAUUAUUAGAGUGAAAAGAAACUCAUUGCAACCCGUUGGCAUUAAAAUAAAACAAUUUAAUUUUUUUUGCAAAAUUUCCCAAAAAAAUCGUAAGGGGUAAGCCUUAUGAAAUUUUCGAGUGGAAAAUUUUUUUGACAUUUUUUUCUGAUUUUUUAUUCUUUUUUAAAUUUAAAGCACUAUUUAAGUGAAAAGAAACUUAUUGCAACAAAUUCCCAUCAAAAUAUAUCACAUUUAAAAUUUUUGCUACAUUGCUCAAAAAUGAGGAAAAUUUUACAUUUUCUCAAACAGGGUAAGGAACUUGGUUCCUCGAAUAACUUCUGGCACAGACAUCUGAGGGCAUGGCUGUCCAAGAAGAAAAUGUAGCCAUUGUUGCCAUCUAUCGACCACAAGUUAAAGAUUGGCGAUUCGUUGGAUACCGACCGAGUUAUAGGCAAAACUUGGUGCAAAAAUGAGGAAAAUUUUACAUUUUCUCAAACAGGGUAAGGAACUUGGUUCCUCAAAUAACUUCUGGCACAGACAUCUAAGGGCAUGGCUGUCCAAGAAGAAAAUGUAGCCAUUGUUGCCAUCUAUCGACCACAGGUUAAAGUUUGGCGAUUCGUUGGAUACCGACCGAGUUAUAGGCAAAAUUUGGUGCAAAAUGAGGAAAAUUUUCAUUUUUUUUGAAUUUUUUGAUUUUUUUUAUUAUUUUUCACUCUUUUUUUUAUUUUAAGCAUUAUUAGAGUGAAAAGAAACUCAUUGCAACCCAUUGGCAUUAAAAUAAAACAAUUUAAUUUUUUUGCAAAAUUUCCCAAAAAAAUCGUAAGGGGUAAGCCUUAUGAAAUUUUCGAGUGGAAUGUUUUUUUGACAUUUUUUUCUGAUUUUUCCCAAAUUCCCAUCAAAAUAUAUCACAUUUAAAAUUUUUGCUACAUUGCUCAAAAAUGAGGAAAAUUUUACAUUUUCUCAAACAGGGUAAGGAACAUGGUUCCUCGAAUAACUUCUGGCACAGACAUCUGAGGGCAUGGC